rnacentral:lncRNA from 1 species
AAUGUCCUUUUUCCUUGCAGUAGGCACACUGGUAUCGUUCAACCCGUGGUUUUCUUUGNCUCGCGUUCCUCUUGCUCUUUACGGAUCCUUUCCUCCCUUUCCUCUGGGGUGUCUCUCUCUCUCUUUUUUUUUCUCUUUCUCUUUUUCUUUCUCUUUCUCUCUCUCUCUCUUUCUCUCUUUCCUCUCUCUCUUUCUUUCUCUUUCUUUUUCUCUUUCUCUUUCUCUCUUUCUCUCUCUCUCUCUUUCUCUUUCCUCUCUCUCUUUCUUUCUCUCUUUCUCUCUCUCUUUCUCUUUCUCUCUCUUUCUCUUUUCCUCUAAGUAUACAUAUGGUAGCCCUCCAUUAAUCUUUCCAGAAAACCUCNUCAAAGGGGGUAUACAUACGGUAGCCUUCCAGUAAUCUUUCCAGAAAACCUGCCCGCGUCUCAUCUUUUCCCUGCAGUAUAGCACGUACCUUUGCCAAAUUGGUGGGGCGUCACCCUGCCCCUUUGAGACCCGCUAGGAGUACCUGGCGAUAGAGACGGAGCCACUCCCUACCAGCAGCAGUGUUGUAGUCCCACGUCGGGCAAACCAAGGGGAAAACGUCCUCAAUUUCAUUAGGCAACUGGGUCGGCCUCCGAUCGGCCCCGGGGACAUUUUUCCGUGCUUUGAGGUAGACGCGCUGUCUCUCCUGCGUGGUGAGGAGAGUCUGAAGCUGUUGGCAGUCUUCCCAGGUUGGCUGGUGGGUUAACAGAAUUGACUCAAUUAACCCGGAUAGCGCCUGGGGGUCUUAGGAGAAAGUAAGGUUAUGAGUUUUCCAGUUGUAAAGGUCAGAGGCAGAGAACGGCCAGUAUUGCAUCUGGCCGCCUACUGAUAGGAGGGGAAAUGCCUGGGAGGUCCAGACGUCUUCCGACUCUCCCCCGCGCUCUCGUCGAAAACAGAGGCGACUGGAGAGUGGAGAUGAAGCGAGGGGUUCCCUCUCUACCCCAGUAGAGUCGGGGGACAGAGCUGAGGGAGCGGAGGGAGGGGUAGAGGCC